rnacentral:rRNA from 1 species
UACGUAGGGGGCGAGCGUUGUCCGAAGUUACUGGGCGUAAAGCGCGCGUAGGCGGCUUUUUAAGUUUGAGGUGAAAGGUUCAGCGCUCAACGUGAACAGUGCCUUGAAUACUGGGAAGCUUGAAUGUGACAGAGGGUCGUGGAAUUCCGAGUGUAGAGGUGAAAUUCGUAGAUAUUCGGAGGAACACCAGUGGCGAAGGCGGCUCACUGGUCCAUUACUGACGCUGAGGUGCGAAAGCGUGGGGAGCAAACAGG